rnacentral:rRNA from 1 species
UACGUAGGGUCCGAGCGUUGUCCGGAAUUACUGGGCGUAAAGAGCUCGUAGGUGGUUUGUCACGUUGUUCGUGAAAACCCACAGCUCAACUGUGGGCGUGCGAGCGAUACGGGCAGACUAGAGUACUGCAGGGGAGACUGGAAUUCCUGGUGUAGCGGUGGAAUGCGCAGAUAUCAGGAGGGACACCGGUGGCGAAGGCGGGUCUCUGGGCAGUAACUGACGCUGAGGAGCGAAAGCGGGGGGAGCGAACAGG